GCUGGGGCUCAAUGGUAGCGUAUCUGAUUGGUAUGCAGAAGGGCCCAGGUUCAAUCCCUGCUAUCUGCA
rnacentral:tRNA from 1 species